ACACACACACACCACACACACACAACACACACACACCAACACACACACACCACACACACACCACACACAUAUCCUUUACUCCACCUUUGGACACACUUAACACUAACAUCUUCCAUCAACAAUAGUCAAAGUACAUUAGUAUUCAACUCAAAUUGCAAAAACCGUAAAAAGAGUCAAACUCCAAACAACAAGGAAAGGGCAGAUAUAUUCACUCACUUCCAAACCAGAGAACAGGAAGUGCGGUGAAUCAGAUGAAAGGCCUACAUUAACCACAAGUGCUUAGUUGUUUUGUUCAGCUCUGCUCUAUAAUGACUCUUUACAAACCAAUGUUGGAUAAUGGAGGAAAAAGAAAGUAAAACGUUGUCUAACCUGUUCCCAUUAUCAUAAAUGUACAUAACUCACCACUUGAGUUCUUCCCACUCCACCGAAUGACAUCAGCACGGAUAAAUCCAAUCAAGGAUCAAUAUUGAAACAUGGUGGAUAACUUCCAGUGAUCUUUUAAAGAGUCUUUCCCGUUUGUGGUAGGCUCACAGAAUGUAAUGUGAUACAGCAAACAGGGAAUACAUCAAUAAACACAUCAUGUUGUUCGGGUUCCUCUUCAUAAAGCUUCCUGCACACAAAGUCAUUUCCAUCAUCUGUAGCUUUCUAGACACUUUAUGGAGUCGAUUUGUUUUUCUUACUUUUCGUUUUGUUUUUACUUUAUGCUCUGAUGAUGCUAACAAUGUUUGUUGUUCGACUCGUCGAUAGUCCGGGUUAUCCUACGGCAAACCUUU